rnacentral:rRNA from 1 species
AACGAACGCUGGCGGCAUGCCUAACACAUGCAAGUCGAACGAGACCUUCGGGUCUAGUGGCGCACGGGUGCGUAACGCGUGGGAACCUGCCUUUAGGUUCGGAAUAACAGUGAGAAAUUACUGCUAAUACCGGAUGAUGUCUUCGGACCAAAGAUUUAUCGCCUUUAGAUGGGCCCGCGUUGGAUUAGCUAGUUGGUGGGGUAAAGGCCUACCAAGGCGACGAUCCAUAGCUGGUCUGAGAGGAUGAUCAGCCACACUGGGACUGAGACACGGCCCAGACUCCUACGGGAGGCAGCAGUGAGGAAUAUUGGACAAUGGGCGCAAGCCUGAUCCAGCCAUGCCGCGUGCAGGAAGACGGUCCUAUGGAUUGUAAACCUCUUUUUUCUAGGGUAGGGAAUAAAAAUGACGUGUACCUGAGAAUAAGCAUCGGCUAACUCCGUG